rnacentral:rRNA from 1 species
UACAGAGGGUGCGAGCGUUAAUCGGAAUUACUGGGCGUAAAGCGUGCGUAGACGGUCUUGUAAGUCGGGUGUGAAAGCCCCGGGCUCAACCUGGGAAUUGCAUUCGAGACUGCAAGGCUUGGGUGCGGAAGAGGGAAGCGGAAUUUCCGGUGUAGCGGUGAAAUGCGUAGAUAUCGGAAGGAACAUCAGUGGCGAAAGCGGCUUCCUGGUCCAGCACCGACGUUCAGGCACGAAAGCGUGGGGAGCAAACAGG